rnacentral:rRNA from 1 species
CCUACGGGAGGCAGCAGUGAGGAAUAUUGGUCAAUGGGCGGGAGCCUGAACCAGCCAAGUCGCGUGAGGGAAGACGGUCCUAUGGAUUGUAAACCUCUUUAGGCGGGGAGCAAUGCCGGGCACGCGUGCCCGGAGGGAGAGUACCCGCAGAAUAAGCAUCGGCUAACUCCGUGCCAGCAGCCGCGGUAAUACGGAGGAUGCGAGCGUUAUCCGGAUUUAUUGGGUUUAAAGGGUGCGUAGGCGGAGUUUUAAGUCAGCGGUAAAAUGUCCGGGCUCAAACCGGGCCGGCCGUUGAAACUGGGGAUCUGGAGGGGGCGAGAAGUAUGCGAAAGGUGUGGUGGAGCGGGGAAAUGCAUAGAU